rnacentral:lncRNA from 1 species
UUUUCCAUACAGAUAUCCCACAGACCCAGCACCAUUUAUUGAGAAGACAAUCUCUUUCCCCUGCACUUCAGUCAUUCCAUUAAAAAAAACUGACUAUCAUUUUGAAUGAUAGCUAAGAACUACUCCACCUGGCCCAGAUUCUUUGGCGUGUGUCUCUGCUCAGCUCCGAUGAAUGCAGGAAUCCCUAAUCAGAUGACUGCAAUCACAAGACUCCCCUCCAGCAGGCUGGAAUGAGGCUGUGAGGCUCCAGCAGCCGUUUUGUGCCACGAGGCAGUAGAAACCUGGGUUCCUGAUGACUGUGGAGCUGCCGAACUAAUCUGGACCUCCAGAUUCCAUACCUGCAAGACACAUGAACAUCUGUCUUAUGCCGUGGAAACAGAAAUCUAGUGGAGGAUUCUGAUCCCUAGGGAAUGUAGGGCCACUGGACCCAAUUGCCCUAUAAUCUUGUGUGGUAUUUCCCUGCCCCUGCUCAACUUCAUUGGAUGGUAAUGUUACAUUUGUUAAGCCACUAAGGUUUUGGGGGUUGUUUAUUAGGCAGUUGUCUAGCCUGAUAACACAAGCCUGAAAGAAGGGCAUUCUUAUCCCUAUUUUUCCCUGGGGGAAAUGGGCUCAGAGAUACUAAGUAACUUGCUAAAGUCACACAGCAAGUAAGUGGCAAAUCCAGAUUUGAGCUCAGGUUAUGUCUUUUCCACUAACCCAGGCUAACAGGAUGAUUGUUCCUGCUUAGGUAUUGCCUUGGUCUUUGUUUCUUGAGGAGUCACAGAAAGAAAGACACAGACCAGGACUGGGAGGUAGGGAAGGAGGGAGCAGCUGGGGGGCAGGUGUGUAGUGGUGCAUCAUAGCAGCAAAGGGAGGUAAAGGUUCUAGGAAGGGGUGGUCAAUUGUGUCUAAUGAGAUCCAGCCAGGUGGAGGAGGAAGAGGGCUGGGAAGAGCCCAUUAAAUUUAAUGACCUCAGUGACAGUUUUAUCUGAGUGAUGGGGCAGAUGCCAGCUUGCAGAAGGUUUGGGAACAAGUCAGUGAUUAUGUUGGUUAAGGGAAGGAGAGAGGAAAAAAAGAGAGAUAGCUUUAAGUGGAAGCCAGGCCAAAGGAAAGCAUUUUGAGAAGGAAAUCAGUGGUUAGGGAGAGGUUAAAAAUAAGAAAGGGAAUCAUGACCUACAUAAUGCAAGGCAUCUGAAUGUGAUGAUUUCCUCCUUUAGGCUUGGUUCUGGUGUGCAUUUCCAGGGCUAAGCUGACUGGCCAGGAAGCAGGGAGCAAAGGGGGUUGGACACAGCCAGCAAAUCACGCAGCAUUAACUGGGCUGCGAGGCCGGAUCCUGAGUGGGCAAGCAGGUGGCAGCUGAAGUAUUGUGAAUCGAGAGCCUGAAAUUCUUCAGGAUCUUCUAAGAUUAUCCAUUUGAUUGGGUCAUGGAAUUAAUGUGGAUAAGCCUAGUUGAUCAACCUGAGUAGAGGGUGCUGUCACCUGCACAACACCUACCACAACUUCCUAGAACCUAGUGGCCGAGCUUGUUAAGUGUCCCCAAAUGCCCAUUCUCUCCUUCCUUUUAGUCAAGGAGCCAUGAAUUUUAGGGAAGAACAUGAUCAUUUAGCUCAGGACCACAGUUCCCAGACUCCCUGCAGCUGGAUGUGGAUGUCUACUCAGUUCUUGCUAAAACGAUGUGUGCAAUUUCCAGAGCACAUCCUUAUAUGGAAGUUAUUUGCAGUGAACAUUGUCUGUUUCCUCCUUUCAAUGAGGUGGAACUGGAAGUGCUGGAGAUGAGCUGCUGUGGCUGUAUGGACAAAGGCAAGAUCCUAUGGGAUGGCCAAGCAACCAGACAGAAGAACUCUUGAGACCUUGAGGAAAAGAACUGCCCGCAACUGCUCUUGACACUCUCUCCCUCUGGCCUGUUGUGUGGGAGAGAAAUAAA